AUACGGAGGGUGCAAGCGUUAUUCGGAAUCACUGGGCGUAAAGGACGCGUAGGCGGGUUGGCAAGUCAGAUGUGAAAUCCUACAGCUUAACUGUAGAACUGCAUUUGAAACUGCUAACCUAGAGUAUGGGAGGGGGAGAUGGAAUUAGUGGUGUAUGGGUAAAAUCCGUAGAUAUCACUAGGAAUACCGAAAGCGAAGGCGAUCUCCUGGAACAUAACUGACGCUAAGGCGUGAAAGCGUGGGGAGCAAACAGGAUUAGAAACCCUAGUAGUCC
rnacentral:rRNA from 1 species